AGAAAACUAGUUAAAUAAUAACAUCGGCCUGUCAGACCGAAAUCGCUGAACAACAACUCAGCGUUCUCUA
rnacentral:tRNA from 1 species